GACGAACGCUGGCGGCGUGCUUAACACAUGCAAGUCGAGCGAGGCCCCUCCUUCGGGAGGGUGUCCUAGCGGCGAACGGGUGAGUAACACGUGGGCAACCUGCCCUCAGCUCUGGGAUAACUCCGGGAAACCGGGGCUAAUACCGGAUACGACCUCCACGGGCAUCUGCGGAGGUGGAAAGUUUUUCGGCUGAGGAUGGGCCCGCGGCCUAUCAGCUAGUUGGUGGGGUAGUGGCCCACCAAGGCGACGACGGGUAGCCGGCCGGAGAGGGCGACCGGCCACACUGGGACUGAGACACGGCCCAGACUCCUACGGGAGGCAGCAGUGGGGAAUAUUGCGCAAUGGGCGAAAGCCUGACGCAGCGACGCCGCGUGAGGGACGAAGGCCUUCGGGUUGUAAACCUCUUUCAGCAGGGACGAAGCGAAAGUGACGGUACCUGCAGAAGAAGCACCGGCCAACUACGUG
rnacentral:rRNA from 1 species